CCCAAUCUACGUAAAUUUGACGUAUACCGCGGCGAAAUAUCUCUGUUACUUUCACGUUUACCGUCGGAUCGCCGCUAACUUCUGAACCAACUCAGUAGCCAUUGGGACCUCGCAGGACACAGUUGCAUCAUCUCGUUUGAAUACAAAAUGGCGUCCCGUCAACGGCUAAACCAGGACGAAAUUGCUACAAUUUUAGAAAAUGAUGACGAUUAUUCUCCGCUGGAUUCGGAAUCCGAGAAAGAAGAUUGUGUAGUUGAAGAUGAUGUCUGGAGUGAUAAUGGAGUGGUACCACCAUCAUCAGAAAAUAUUGGUGAUAAGCCAGAACCAAAAAAAUGACGCUAUUGUGGUUUUUGCUCAUAUAAAAAAAGGUGGAUGACCAAAGCGCAGUGUUGCAAAUGCUGUAUGUGGAGAACACAACAUUGAUGUUUGUCAAGACUGUAUAUAAAGACUGUUUUUUUCUAAGAGACUUAUAAAAUAUUAUUACAAGUUCAUUUAAUUUUAUGAAAAAAUUUAAAACUAGUUGAUUUUUUUUAUAAUUACAUAAUUUUAAGAAAAAGUGUUAGAGGCUUGAUUUUUUUGUUUUUUUUUCUAAGAUUUGAUUGAAAUGCCAUAAUAGUAUUAAUAAAGAGGAUUUUUUAACUUAAAA
rnacentral:lncRNA from 1 species